AUUGAACGCUGGCGGCAGGCCUAACACAUGCAAGUCGAACGAGUGGCGGACGGGUGAGUAAUGUCUGGGAAACUGCCUGAUGGAGGGGGAUAACUACUGGAAACGGUAGCUAAUACAGCAUACCAUCGGAUGUGCCCAGAUGGGAUGAGCUAGUAGGUGGGGUAAAGGCUAACCUAGGCGACUAUCCCUAGCUGGUCUGAGAGGAUGACCAGCCAAACUGGACCUGAGACACGGUCCAGACUCCUACGGGAGUCAGCAGUGGGGAAUAUUGCACAAUGGGCGAAAGCCUGAUGCAGCCAUGCCGCGUGUAUGAAGAAGGCCUUCGGGUUGUAAAGUACUUUCAUCGGGGAGGCGUUACCCGCAGAAGAAGCACCGGCUAACUCCGUGCCAGCAGCAGCGGGAAUUC
rnacentral:rRNA from 1 species